UAAAUUUGUAUUAGGUUGGUGCAUAUGAAAUGUCGUUUUUUUACAUGCAAACGUUUUUCUUGUUUUUGUUAUGCUUUUGUUUUUGACAUAAUCUCUUUUAUAGUCGUACGACAAAGGUAGAAACACAAGAGAACGAAUGAUAUAGGCAAUUUGUAAUAAAAUCCGUCCCCUAAAAACGUAAGAAAUAACUAAUACUUAUUUCUGCCACUAGGGCGGCAUGACGAUCAAUGUGAUCAUUGCUUGGGAAGUUUAAAAGCUGAUAAAUCAUCUGACAGAGAUCGAGUCAUUGAUUUGAUAAGUGAAUAUUGCAUACGCCCGAGUGAGAACUUAUAUAAUCUUAUCAAUCAAUUAGAAAAUGUUGUUUUAACUGUUGUUGGGACUAAAACUAUUAGAUUUGAAUAUAGAACUAUUUCUUCAUAAAUUUAGAACUAUAAAUGUGUUAUAUACUUUACAUUGAGUAUGUACAAAUGAUUUUAUUUAACAUAUUGACAGCCGGCGAUUUAAAAGACAUUUAAAGCCUGAGCACAAACCGGCGCUCAAGCGAGACUCACUUUAGCAACUACAGCGCACUCUGGACUAAAACUUUAUUUCUUCCACAUUUGGGGGACAUUUUUUUAUACAGCGUUCGUUCUUCUGUGUUUCUACCUCCACCAGUCGCACUGACCAUUGCCAGAUUAACAUUUUAACAUAGGAGAUUUUUUCAAAUGUGUUCCCUUUUGUUAUUUGUUUUGAAUUUUGUUUUGAUAUGAAUUCCACCGAAAUUCGUGUAAUUUUAUUGUAUGAGUAUAAACUUGGUAAUAAUGCUGCAAAAGCGGCACGAAACAUAAACAAGGCGUUUGGGGAGAAUACUAUUAACGAUAGAAAAGUGCAGCGUUGGUUUAAAAAAUUUCGGUCUGGUGAUAUUUCACUACAAAACGAACCGCGAGGAAGACCCAAAACAAUCGUGAAAAAUGAUGAUCUAAAGGCAUUGGUGGAAGCGAAUCCAACUGCAUCCUCGACGGAACUUGCUAUCAGGAUGAAAGUUGACCAUACAACGAUAUUGCGGCAUCUUUCUCAAAUUGGCAAAGUGAAAAAAAAGAAUAAGUGGCUUGAUAGGGAUAAUCGUGAAAAAUGAUGAUCUGAAGGCAUUGGUGGAAGCGAAUCUAUCUGAAUCCUCGACAGAACUUGCUAUUAGGAUGAAAGUUGAUCAUACAACGAUAUUGCGACAUCUUUCUCAAAUUAGCAAGGUGAAAAAAAAUGAAUAAGUGGCCUGAUAGGGAUGAGGCUUAUGUUCAUAUUCCAAGGCCAUCACUUUAUCCACGGAAGAUAGUCUAAUGUCAGAGUUUAUUGAUUCUAAAGAUAGUUUUUUGAAGAGCAGGUAUUUAUGCUUUGAAGACUUGCUGGGAAAAGUGUACUGAAGCAAAUCAAACAUAUUUUGAUUAAAUAAACAGCUUUUGUAAAAAGA